UCGUUGGAGGUUUUCCGGGGACCCUUUCCAACCUGGCUGUCUCAAAGGGAACCAGAUUAUGCAAGGCUUUGUGUUCCAGCUUAGGCUAAACCAAGAACAACUUUAUCCUAAGGUCAAGAGGAAAUAUUUGAUAGGUUCUAAAGAAGGGAGGUUUUCUACCAGGUGAACUACGUGGUCAUGGAAGCACUGUUGAUGGUGUGGCACUACUGCCUGUUCUUCAAAGAAAAAUUCAAACCCCUAUUGCCGGCUUUGAAAAUGGAAGAAGAAUGCCCUGAUUCAAGGAAUGUAGUGGCCUCUAGCAUUUGGCAAGGAGAAGAGAAGAAUGGAUUUAGAAAAAGGAAUUCGAUCCCCAAGUGUUCUCACCUACAAAAAGGAAUCAUGAUGGCUCCUACCUCAGAGGCUGGGGAAGAAGGGAAGGAACACACCCUCACAGGCUCUUCCCUGGCUGCAUUCAUGCACUGUGUCCCGCUUCUCAGUGGAACCAGCUAUCAGCACCAUGGACAGAACCCGGGAGAUUGGGUCCUCAGAGCAAGUAAAAUGAUUCAGGAGUGUCUGGCCAAGGCACUAACUACAGAGAUUUUUAUUUCAUGUGAAUAAACAGUUUUCUGUUUGACUUCAAGGCCAGGAUCCCGUUUUCCUUUUGCAGUUCUUCUGAGGAAGUUAAUGUUAAUGAGCACAAGAUGAAACUUAGCUUCAACAUGAUCUGUACUUUACACAUCAAAAUAAAGAAGAUUACCAACACAGUCACAGACACAGAAUGGAAGAUGCAUGGAUUCUCAGAUUGACGAAGCCCACCAAACUCUGAGCUCCUAGACAAAAAUGCUGUAGAACAACAAAGAAAAAGACAAAGUCAUACAAGCAGCCAUAAGGGAAGGACUGAUUAUCACAAAAUAAACACAAAUUAGACUGUAAGAAGACCUCUCUGCAGCACAGUAGAGAGGAGAAG
rnacentral:lncRNA from 10 species